GAAAAUAUGGCACCCAGAGAAGGAACAUUUUGUCCAGUUGCAUCUGAUUUUGUUCUCUAAGCCUCUCUGCUUAGGAAUGUGGAAGAUGAAAGAACAAUAAUACAUCUCUGGACACGCGGCCAGGACAGUGCUGCCUUGAGAAAAGUCAGGGCUGAUUAGCUAAUUCCUGCAUUUUCUGUGCCGUUGUGAUUCUGAAUUCUUUAAGCCUGGACAUAGCUUAAAGAAAAUGGAGCUGGCUAAUGCAUUGUGCUAAAUGGCCUUCUGCCUGUUUCCUGAGCACAGAGGAGCCGGAUGCUGUGAGGUGCUGAGGACACGCAAUUUUCACAGGUUCCCAGAAGGCACUCAGCGCUGUGCAGGAUUGUGCCCUGCUGUAUUAUCUUCUAGCAUCAUAUGUCUGCUGCAAAACUUCUGCAGAGUGCAGCUUCCCCAUAAAAAUGUGUGAACUGGAAGGACAGAAGUAAAGUUUGUAAAUCUUCAUGGUAUAAGGUAAUCAGUUUAAAGGAAUGUAUCUGCUGGACAAUCAGAGGAGCUACUCCAUUCCUAUGGAUCCCAAAUCAGAAUUCAACAUAUGUAUUUUAUACUAAUAACAUUUUAUCAAAGUAUUAAUUAAAUGUUAACUUGCUAACUUGAGACCAUGGGCGGAGACAUUAUGUAACCUGUUAACCAUUGGCUAAUGUGCUAUCUUGUCUUGCUGCAAAACCUAUCCUGGGGUGUGGAACUGCCUACCCCAUCACUUUCCCCCGUCCAUGGAAAAUCUAUAUAUUCUAUUGUAAUCGAUUGAUUGGCAGUGUCUCUAAGCCUGAUAAGCAAGGUGACACUCCGCCAGCGCUGUGUGUAAUAAACUCCUAUGCUUGA